rnacentral:sRNA from 2 species
UCGCGUCAAGCGCCGUAGGCAGGAGCGGGGGACCCAAGGUAAGCGCCGGGCCCAGCAGUUCACGCUGGACCGGCUUGGGGUGAAGCCGCGCACCGCGAGGUGCGCGACCGGGCAACUCAACCGGCCCGAACCCGACAGCUCACCUCGCAGGCGUCGGUGAGGGGAUCC